rnacentral:rRNA from 1 species
GAUGAACGCUAGCUACAGGCUUAACACAUGCAAGUCGAGGGGCAGCAUGAACAUAGCUUGCUAUGUUUGAUGGCGACCGGCGCACGGGUGCGUAACACGUAUCCAAUCUACCCAUGGCUCGGGGAUAGCCUUUCGAAAGAAAGAUUAAUACCCGAUGGUCUCGGUUUAAGGCAUCUUAGACUGAGUAAAGAUUUAUCGGCGAUGGAUGAGGAUGCGUCUGAUUAGGUAGUAGGCGGGGUAACGGCCCACCUAGCCUUCGAUCAUUAGGGGUUCUGAGAGGAAGGUCCCCCACACUGGAACUGAGACACGGUCCAGACUCCUACGGGAGGCAGCAGUGAGGAAUAUUGGUCAAUGGGCGAGAGCCUGAACCAGCCAAGUAGCGUGAAGGAAGACUGCCCUAUGGGUUGUAAACUUCUUUUGUUCGGGAAUAAAGUGCAGUACGCGUACUGUUUUGUAUGUACCGUUGAAUAAGCAUCGGCUAAUUCCGUGCCAG